rnacentral:rRNA from 1 species
UACGAAGGGAGCUAGCGUUGUUCGGAAUCACUGGGCGUAAAGCGCACGUAGGCGGCUGUGUCAGUCAGGGGUGAAAUCCCGGAGCUCAACUUCGGAACUGCCUUUGAUACAGCACGUCUUGAGUCCGAUAGAGGUGGGUGGAAUUCCUAGUGUAGAGGUGAAAUUCGUAGAUAUUAGGGAGAACACCGGUGGCGAAGGCGGCCCACUGGAUCGGUACUGACGCUGAGGUGCGAAAGCGUGGGGAGCAAACAGG